AUGGUGUUUCUGCAGAUGCUCCGGAUCCGGGAUGGGAGCAUCACGGAUUUAAGCAUGAUUUGUUGCUCAAUUUCUAGGAUCCAGAAGUUCCCGACGUCGUUGAGUGUGGAACAGAUCACUCGGAGCUUAGAGGCCUACUUAAUGUGGUUUUUCGGCAAAGUGAUGUUCACAGAGAACCAUGUCACCACUAUUAGCGCGCUACAUCCCUAUGGCACUCGAGAUAGCGAGCGCUGA
rnacentral:rRNA from 1 species